rnacentral:misc_RNA from 1 species
GAUGAAGAACGUAGCGAAAUGCGAUAAGUAAUGUGAAUUGCAGAAUUCCGUGAAUCAUCGAAUCUUUGAACGCACAUUGCGCCCCCUGGCAUUCCGGGGGGCAUGCCUGUCCGAGCGUCAUUUCUGCCCUCCAGCCCGGCUGGGUGUUGGGCGCUGUCCCCCCGGGGACACGCCCCAAAGGCAGUGGCGGCGCCGCGUCGGGGCCUCGAGCGUAUGGGGCUUUGUCACCCGCUCGGGACGGACUCGUCGGCGCUGGUCUUCCUCCAGGCGACCCUUCGGGGCUCGUCUUCCUUCGGUUGACCUCGGAUCAGGUAGGGUUACCCGCUGAACUUAAGCAUAUCAAUAAGCGGAGGA